UGAGCUGUGGAUAGCGGAGAAAUUCCAAUCGAACUCGGAGAUAGCUGGUUCUCCUCGAAAUAGCUUUAGGGCUAGCGUCGGGUAAUUGAGUAGUGGAGGUAGAGCACUGAAUGGGCUAGGGGCUGACAACAGUUACUGAACCCUAUCAAACUCCGAAUGCCAUAUACUUGUACCCCGGCAGUCAGACUACGAAUGAUAAGCUCCGUGGUCAAAAGGGAAACAGCCCAGACCAUCAGCUAAGGUCCCAAAGUGUAAGUUAAGUGGGAAAGGAUGUGGGAUUUCUAAGACAACUAGGAUGUUGGCUUAGAAGCAGCCACUCAUUUAAAGAGUGCGUAAUAGCUCACUAGUCGAGAGAUCCUGCGCCGAAGAUGUAACGGGGCUCAAACUUACCACCGAAGCUAUGGAUGUGUACUUUGUACACGUGGUAGAGGAGCUUUCUGUACAGGUUGAAGUCAUACCGUAAGGAGUGGUGGACAGUACAGAAGUGAGAAUGCUGGCAUAAGUAGCGAAAAACAAGUGAGAAUCUUGUUGACCGAAUAUCUAAGGUUUCCUGGGGAAGGCUCGUCCUCCCAGGGUUAGUCGGGACCUAAGCCGAGGCCGA
rnacentral:rRNA from 1 species